CCUUGUUACACUUUUCCUUUUGCAGGGAAUGUUUAUUCCCCACUGCCGGCCUCUGGGUUCUUUAUAAACUGAGGAAAAGCACCAGAGCUGGGAGUCUGUAUGCAGGAGAUACACAGCGCUCUGUGACGUGCCAAGUCUUUGGGAUCUCUACGCUGUGGGAGGUGUAUAAGGUGUCCUCCUUGGUAUAAACAGAUCUGUAACGCUGCAGCCUGGGUGUUGGCAGAAGUAGGGUGCUGUGCCCUGGGAAGAGGGGAAUUUUUAUUCCCCACUGCCGGCCCCUGGGUUCUUUAUAAACAGGGGAAGAGCACCAGAGCUGGGAGUCUGUAUGCAGGAGAGACACAACGUCCUGUGACGUGCCAAGUCUUUGGGAUCUCUACGCUCUGGGGGUGUAUAAGGUGUCCUCUUGGUAUAACCAGAUCUGUAACGUUGCAGCCUGGGUGUUGGCAGAAGUAGGGUGCUGUGCCUGGGAAGAAG